rnacentral:rRNA from 1 species
UACGGAGGGUCACACGUUAUCCGGAAUCAUUGGGUUUAAAGGGUCCGUAGGCGGUUUUGUAAGUCAGUGGUGAAAGCCCAUCGCUCAACGGUGGAACGGCCAUUGAUACUGCAAAACUUGAAUUAUUGGGAAGUAACUAGAAUAUGUAGUGUAGCGGUGAAAUGCUUAGAUAUUACAUGGAAUACCAAUUGCGAAGGCAGGUUACUAUCAAUAUAUUGACGCUGAUGGACGAAAGCGUGGGGAGCGAACAGG